AAAAAACGGAAGUUGCAGAUGUUGAGGACUGGACUGGUAUGGAAAAGCCUGAGUGUGAUGUAGGCCUAUGCAUGAAUGAGGCUCCAUAACUUCUACUACAACCGUGCGAGUUCCUGUCAUUACGAGCUUAGUCACUGUUCUGUAGUCCAUGUACAGCACAAACUGUCCAUUAACCUGGCACACAAACUGGCGAACCUAAACAAAAGUAAAAAGACUGCAGCUGGACUUCCUGGGUCCACAGCUUGUAUAUAGCAAGGAGCAGUGCCUCUGACAACAAAGCCCCAGCCCAGAGCAUCUCCAAUCACCUGCAAUGAUGGGUUACACUGGACUGUAGAGAUUGAAGACAGUGGGGUGAAAGAAGGAAAAUCUGAUCGGAUCUUAAGAGAGUUCAAGCUGCCUCUGCGACCACUGUUGACUGACUUCAUUUCCUUACGAAGUCCCACUGUAAUUGCAAUACAGAUUCUCUACACGCCUGUGAUGAACAAUCCCGAAUGCGUGUUUUGCCUUUGCACCCAGCGGUCUUCAAAAUGUGCUGCUGUGGAGAAGAGAGAGAGGAGACCGAGCCUGGGCCCGCUGUGCUGAAGCGCAUCAU